rnacentral:rRNA from 1 species
GACGAACCGUACGAACGUUAUUCGGAAUUACUGGGCUUAAAGGGUGCGUAGGCUGCGCGGAAAGUUGGGUGUGAAAUCCCUCGGCUCAACCGAGGAACUGCGCCCAAAAACUACCGUGCUCGAGGGAGACAGAGGUGAGCGGAACUUAGGGUGGAGCGGUGAAAUGCGUUGAUAUCCUAAGGAACACCCGUGGCGAAAGCGGCUCACUGGGGUCUCUUCUGACGCUGAGGCACGAAAGCUAGGGUAGCGAACGGGAUUAAGAAACCC